rnacentral:rRNA from 1 species
GCGGAUAAGGGCUGAAAGCAUCUAAGCCCGAAGCCGCUCCCGAGAUCAGGCGGCC